AUUUACUUGAUCUUGACAAUUUACUUGGAUAACUGUGGUAAUUCUAGAGCUAAUACAUGCACCAAAGCUCCGACCGUAAGGAAAGAGCGCAUUCAUUAGAACAAAACCAAGCGGCUUCGGCCGUUCAAUGUUGAAUCAUAAUAACUAAGCUGAUCGCAUGGUCUUGUACCGGCGACGUGUCUUUCAAGUAUCUGCCUUAUCAACUUUCGAUGGUAGUGUAUCUGACUACCAUGGUUGUGACGGGUAACGGAGGAUAAGGGUUCGACUCCGGAGAAGGGGCCUGAGAAAUGGCCACUACGUCUAAGGAUGGCAGCAGGCGCGCAAAUUACCCACUCUCAGAACGAGGAGGUAGUGACGAGAAAUAACAAGACCGUUCUCUUCAGAGGCCGGUCAUUGGAAUGGGUACAAUUUAAACCCUUUAACGAGUAUCUAUGAGAGGGCAAGUCUGGUGCCAGCAGCCGCGGUAAUUCCAGCUCUCAAAAUGCAUAGAAUCAUUGCUGCGGUUAAAAAGCUCGUAGUUGGAUCUGUGCUGGCGGGUCGGUCCACCUUCGGGUGCGCACUGAUUUCGCCGGCUUUCCUGCUGUAUUUGGCCCUGUGCCUUUCAACGGGUGCAGUGUCCAGUGCAGCAAGUUUACCUUGAACAAAUCAGAGUGCUUCAAACAGGCGUUUCGCUUGAAUGUUCGUGCAUGGAAUAAUAGAAGAGGAUUUCGGUUCUAUUUUAUUGGUUUUAUAGACUGAGAUAAUGGUUAACAGAGACUAACGGGGGCAUUAGUAUUGCUACGUGAGAGGUGAAAUUCUUGGACCGUAGCAAGACUGACUACAGCGAAAGCAUUUGCCAAGAAAGUCUUCAUUAAUCAAGAACGAAAGUCAGAGGUUCGAAGGCGAUCAGAUACCGCCCUAGUUCUGACCGUAAACGAUGCCAACUAGUGAUCCGCCGGUGGAACAUUCGCCCUGGUGGGGAACUUCCCGGAAACGAAAGUCUUCCGGUUCCGGGGGAAGUAUGGUUGCAAAGCUGAAACUUAAAGGAAUUGACGGAAGGGCACCACCAGGAGUGGAGCCUGCGGCUUAAUUUGACCCAACACGGGAAAACUCACCCGGCCCGGACACCGUAAGGAUUGACAGAUUGAUAGCUCUUUCAUGAUUCGGUGGAUGGUGGUGCAUGGCCGUUCUUAGUUCGUGGAGCGAUUUGUCUGGUUUAUUCCGAUAACGAGCGAGACUCUGGCCUACUAAAUAGUUUACACAUUGCUUCUGUGUGCAUAACUUCUUAGAGGGAUUUUCGGUGUUCAGCCGCAAGAAAUUGAGCAAUAACAGGUCUGUGAUGCCCUUAGAUGUCCGGGGCUGCACGCGCGCUACACU
rnacentral:rRNA from 1 species